rnacentral:tRNA from 5 species
AAUUAUAAAGGUUUUAAUCCUUUUCUUUUUA